CACCUCUGGAAGUGCCAUUCCCUUCAUUCCUGACUCUUUGGAGCCACAAAGUUCCAGCAUUGGAUCCCACAAGGACAUCAACUCCCAAAAUGUGGUUUUUCCCAUUGACUUUUCGAGCAAUUAUAGGGAAAAAAUGGGGGUUUAAUGUUCUCCCUUUCUGUCUGGGAAGAGCCUUUCAUAUGGAGCAACUAACAGGGAAUAUUUGGGGUUGGAAAGUGUGGGAUUUUGGGGCUGGAAAAUGAGGAUUUGGGGCUGGAAAAUGUGGGGUUCUGUGGGCUCAGCUCAUCCCUGCUCUCCAUUAUCACCAUCCUGCACCCCUGGCUCAAGCUGAAACCGUAGUUUUCCUGGGAAUUUUUGGGAUUUUUGGGGGUUUUGGCACCUCUGGAAGUGCCAUUCCCUUCAUUCCUGACUCUUUGGAGUGACAGAGUUCCAGCAUUGGAUCCCACAAGGACAUCAACUCCCAAAAUGUGUUUUUUCCCAUUGAUUUUUACAGCAAUUUUAGGG